rnacentral:rRNA from 1 species
UACAGGGGGUGCAAACGUUGCUCGGAAUUAUUGGGCGUAAAGCGCGCGUAGGCGGCUACUUAAGUCGGAUGUGAAAGCCCCUGGCUCAACUGGGGAAGUGCACCCGAAACUGAGUGGCUUGAGUACUAAAGAGGGUCGCGGAAUUCCCGGUGUAGAGGUGAAAUUCGUAGAUAUCGGGAGGAACACCGAUGGCGAAGGCAGCCCCCUGGGCUAACACUGACGCUCAUGCACGAAAGCGUGGGGAGCAAACAGG